rnacentral:rRNA from 1 species
AACGUAGGGGGCGAGGCGUUGCCCGGAUUCACUGGGCGUAAAGCGCGUGUAGGCGGCUUUGCAAGUCGGAUGUGAAAGCCCUCGGCUCAACCGGGGAAGUGCACCCGAAACUGCAAAGCUAGAGUCUCGGAGAGGAUCGUGGGAAUUCUCGGUGUAGAGGUGAAAUUCGUAGAUAUCGAGAGGAACACCGGUGGCGAAGGCGGCGAUCUGGACGAUGA